CACGUAGGGCGCAAGCGUUGUCCGGAAUUAUUGGGCGUAAAGAGCUCGUAGGCGGUCUGUUACGUCUGCUGUGAAAACCCGGGGCUUAACCCUGGGCUUGCAGUGGAUACGGGCAGACUAGAGGCAGGUAGGGGAGAAUGGAAUUCCCGGUGUAGCGGUGAAAUGCGCAGAUAUCGGGAGGAACACCGGUGGCGAGGGCGGUUCUCUGGGACGGUACUGACGCUGAGACGCGAAAGCCAGGGGAGCAAACGGG
rnacentral:rRNA from 1 species